AUCGAAGAAGACCAAAUCAAACUGAGCAAUGAUCUCGAUCGAUUUCAAUAUAGAUACAGCGCAAUUCACCAAUCAGAUUCAAACAUCCAUCCAAAUCUGAUCAGGAUCAGGCGCAGGCGCAGGGAUUGUCGACGUGCACCAGCUCCUCGUCGCCGCCGCGGAAGAAGAGGUAGCCGACGGCGAGCCCCACCACCACCGCGAUGAAGACGCCGGCGUUGUACGACAUCACGGCGAGCAUCAGGAAGUAGCCGAUCGCCGAGUUGACCCCGAACAGGAUCGCC
rnacentral:lncRNA from 1 species